rnacentral:rRNA from 1 species
ACGAGGAACAGGGUGCUUGCACCUUGUAGCCGAGUGGCGAACGGGUGAGUAACACGUGACCAACCUGUCUUUGGGAGGGGGAUAACCCGGGGAAACCUGGGCUAAUACCGCAUAUUGUCCGAGAGUCGCAUGGCUUUUGGAUAAAAGGGGGCCUCUGCUUGCAAGCUCUCACCCAGAGAGGGGGUCGCGACGUAUCAGCUAGUUGGUGAGGUAAUGGCUUACCAAGGCUACGACGCGUAGCGGGUCUAAGAGGAUGACCCGUCACAUUGGGACUGAGAUACGGCCCAGACUCCUACGGGAGGCAGCAGUGGGGAAUAUUGCGCAAUGGCCGAAAGGCUGACGCAGCGACGCCGCGUGUGGGAGGAAGCCCUUCGGGGUGUAAACCACUGUCAGGGGGGAAGAAUCCUGGAGGUAUGAAUAGUACCUUCAGUUGACGGUACCCCCAGAGGAAGCGCCGGCUAACUCCGUGCCAGCAGCCGCGGUAAGACGGGGGGCGCAAGCGUUGUUCGGAAUUACUGGGCGUAAAGGGCGGGCAGGCGGUUUGCUCAGUCUUCUGUGAAAAUCCGGGGCUCAACCCCGCGAAAUGCAGAAGAUACUGGCAGACUAGAGACCGGUAGAGGCUAGCGGAAUUCCUGGUGUAGCGGUGGAAUGCGUAGAUAUCAGGAAGAACCCCUGUGGCGAAGGCGGCUAGCUGGGCCGGAUCUGACGCUGAUCCGCGAAAGCGUGGGGAGCAAACAGGAUUAGAUACCCUGGUAGUCCACGCCGUAAACGAUGGGCACUAGAUGCUGGGUCUAUAGACAGGUUCAGUGUCGCAGCUAACGCACUAAGUGUCCCACCUGGGGAGUACGUUCGCAAGAAUGAAACUCAAAGGAAUUGACGGGGGCCCGCACAAGCGGUGGAGCAUGUGGUUUAAUUCGAUGCAACGCGAAGAACCUUACCUGGGCUUGACAUGUCGGUGGUACUCUCUUGGAAACAGGAGGGGACCCUUCGGGGAGCCGUCACAGGUGCUGCAUGGCCGUCGUCAGCUCGUGUCGUGAGAUGUUGGGUUAAGUCCCGCAACGAGCGCAACCCUCGCCCGUAGUUGCUAACAGGUUAUGCUGAGGACUCUACGGGGACUGCCGGUGAUAAACCGGAGGAAGGUGGGGAUGACGUCAAGUCCUCAUGGCCCUUAUGCCCAGGGCGACACACGUGCUACAAUGGCCGGUACAGAGGGCAGCAAUGCCGCGAGGUGGAGCGAAUCCCCAAAAACCGGUCUAAGUUCGGAUUGCAGUCUGCAACUCGACUGCAUGAAGCUGGAAUCGCUAGUAAUCGUGGGUCAGCCAUACCACGGUGAAUACGUUCCCGGGCCUUGUACACACCGCCCGUCAAGCGAUGGAAGCUGGGGGUGCCCGAAGCCGGUGGCCUAACCUUCGGGAGA